rnacentral:rRNA from 1 species
UAUCUCUGUAGAGUCUGCAUAUCAAUAAGCGGAGGAAAAGAAACUAACAAGGAUUCCCUUAGUAACGGCGAGUGAAGCGGGAAGAGCUCAAAUUUGAAAUCUUCAAGGUUUUACCUUGACGAAUUGUAGUUUAAAGAAGUGUUUUCUGUUGAAGUUUCGGUAAAAGUUCUUUGGAAUAGGACAUCAUAGAGGGUGAGAAUCCCGUAUUUGACCGUUAUUUUCAGCUGUGUGAUACACUUCAAAGAGUCGGAUUGUUUGGGAAUGCAGUCCAAAAUGGGUGGUAAAUUUCAUCUAAAGCUAAAUAUUGGCGAGAGACCGAUAGCGAACAAGUACCGUGAGGGAAAGAUGAAAAGAACUUUGAAAAGAGAGUUAAACAGUACGUGAAAUUGUCAAAAGGGAAGCGUUUGACACCAGUGUUGUCUUCUCGAAAAUCAAUUAAAAAUGGCUUGAUUUUGUGUUGUAUUGACCUUAAAAGCUUUCUGCACUUUUUUCAUGUCUUUUUUAAUGCACUUUUCGUUUAACAAGUCAACAUCAGUUUCUUUUGUUGUAAAAAGGUCAUUGGAAGGUGGCUUUCUUUUCGGAGAAAGUGUUUAUAGCCUUUGACUCCUGCAAUCGGAGAGACUGAGGUCUGCAGCGUAGAUCCUUCUUGGAUUAGAUUCAUUUGUGCUAAGUUAUAGCUUUUUAUAGACAACUUGUUGACUAUAUUUAGUCUUGUAGCUUACUCGCUUAUGCAAUUUUACCUACGCUUAGGAUGUUGAACGCGCACAGAGUCUC